UUCGAUUCCGCGCUGGAGACUAGGUUGACUCGAGUAGGUUUCUCUAGUGGUUUGUUAAUGCAAAGCCGGACGUAAGAAACCUGACUUCUACAUCUGCGUAAUAACAAUAAUGAACAGCGCAGCGUUCUGUUUGUCAACAGAACCGAGCUGUCUGAUUAAAGAGCCAAGCUGCCCGCAAUCAACUGAUUGAGUUGUGGGAUUGGGUGUUUGGCUACCAUUUACAGCAUCUCGUCUGAGCCACUCUACCUUUUUGACCCAUGUAAACUCCUUUUUUGCAGCCUAUCUUCGAUCAAGCCGAUUCUGAUGGGGUUCGUGGGUGGUGGUUGUGGUUUUUUUUUUAACAUUCAUACUGGCCAGAUUUGGGGAGAGGCGGGGAAUCAGUUUUAAACAAUGAUUCCUUUGCUUCCGAAAUGAAGGCUACAUUUAUUUUCAAUCGCCUUUUAAACCUGCUGACCAAGUGCAUUUCCUUGCUCUAGAAGAGCUUGGAAGUCGUUCCUAGGCAUGACCAGAAAAUAUUCUGUUUAGAUCAUCUUACCAAAGGAAGAGAGGGGGUAAAAAAAAAACUCUGUAAGCCAAUUAUAUCAAAAUAUGCCUUCCACAGAAAGCUGUAUGCUGUUACUGUAAUCGCUCUCCGAGUAGUAUUUGGUAUGCUAGAUGGCAGGACAUGCUAGAUGGUUAAUAGAGACAAUUGAAAAAGCAGCCAUUGCAGGGAAAGCAGUUGGGUGUAUGUAAACACGGUACAGUUUGCUGCGGAUCAGAAUUAAGGUUUGUUUUUGUUUUUCAAACGCGGGAGGAACCAGCAGAGUGCAGGAUAAUCCGAGUCUGUCAAUGACUCUCACUGAAAAGCUGAACUUUAUUUUGGGGAGGGAAAAGGAACAGUUCAAUCCCAACUGACUCUCGGGUGAGGUAGCCUUGGAUCUUUUCCAGCCAGCUCCUCUCAGCAAGAAUAGAUGCAUCCUCCAUCCCCGGGUUUUGUUAUUGUUCAGUUUCCUAAUGGACUUAACAAGUCUUGGCUAAUUCAUUUCCUAACGGCCUGCAGCUGAGGACUGGAGAAGUCAGUACACUCGUAGAGGCGCAAGUAGUACCCCAGUCUCUGGGAUGGCUUCACCCACACCCUCCCCGAGUGGGUGCCUGCCCGUGGGCGAGUGCCCUGUCCUUACACGCGACCUGUGUGCCUGUCCCGGGGCAGCGGGGCCCCUGCCUACAGUGGGGGAGUCGCACGAGCCAGCGGACUGGAUCCGGUUCCCGUUGGAGCUGAUGGGAGUGUUGCCACGGAUCGCGGGGAGAGCAGGAUCGGGCUCCGAGCGGCUCUGUCUCCUUCCGCGGACAGCGGAGUCCUUCCUCUCCAGGCCCCGCACGUGCGCACCCCCAGACCCGCAGCGACCUUCGGCUCCAGCGUGGUUCUGAGUUCCCGCAGGACCAGCAGGGCGCUCCUUGGGACCAGGGCAACAUCCGGCAAAGUUGGGCGAAGUUAAGUCGCUCCUGCUGGAGAUCUUGCCUAGCUUAACCUUCUUGCCCCUGGCCUUGCGGUAAAGUUGCGCCGCAGAGGAAGGAACCGACGCCACUGAGAGCGGGAGGGCUGGGGAUGGGGAAAUCUGGUUUAAUGGGAAUUAAUUUGAAACCCAAAGUGCGAAUCUUUUUUGAGUUUACCAGAGAGUUGGCAGCAUCUCCGACUUGCUGUUUGACAUGCUUUUACCUGGCCAGCAGCGUGUUACUGAAGAGUGCUCUGUGUUCUAGGCGUGUUUCACACGGAACAGCGCUAUAAAAUACACCAACCACUCGCCUAAUCGGCCUGGGUCCUAUAGCAGAGUAUAAAACCGCAGCCCUUCUUCCAGCCAAACGGCUUUUCCCUCACCCUUAGCCUUAGCCAGACCCAUGGCUCUGGGAGAACAUGGGAACGCGCAAGCACAGAGGCAGUAAAGGGAAGCAUCUGAGAGCACGAUUCCUGGUAGAUUAUUACCAUGUUAACACCCUGUUUCUGCAGGCUAGGGGACGUGUUAACCCCCUUGACUUCCUCACAAUAGCCACCAACAGCAGCUCUGACACAACUGCCCCUUCCUCCAGCCCUACCCUAGCCCCAGGAAAGGUCCUCUUGAAAACUGCAACGCCCACUCAGAAACUGGCUUAGGGACCAUUCUGCUGGCCACAUUUCUGGGCACUCUUAGUUGGGUUGGAAUGAUGAGAUCGUUUUUUUCUGCACCAUGCCAGCACUAGGAACUGACUGCGUGAACGACUGAAAAUGCAUGGACUGGUCUCGAAUUUUAAAAUGUCAGGCUAUCGGUAUUAGGUUUUUAUUAUUAUUUAAAAAACUCUUAGCAUUUUAAAUUUGUUUGUAUCCUUGUUGUCAAAGAGACGUGAAGGAUUUGGGUGGACCUCUAUGCACGUGUUAGAUUCACCUGAACUUAUAAAGGUAGCACAAUUAACGAUGACAAUGAUACAGCAUCGUAAUGCGAUUUAGCUUUGAGGAAAAUGCCCUCUGCCAACGGUUGCUUUAAUAACACAAGUCGCCAGCAAACAUCUAUCGUAUGCCCAUUUCAUUGCGCCAGUCACCACACUUUGCAGGCGAGGCUCAAGAGUUGCAUUAUUGUGUCUCUAUUAUACUGAUUCUGUGACAACGCUGAGAUUUCCGAGCAAAAUCAGAGAGAUGCAGGUUGGAGAAAAGGUCAAGCUUUCCUAUCAAAGAAAUCAUCCAGUUUGAGAAAUCUGUCAGGGAACCCCCUCAAAAUAUUGAGUGAACUGCCUUCUAUUGACUGUAUUUAAAUAUACAUAUGUAUUUUUUAAAAUCACCCUGCAACCAGUCUUGAGAGAACCCUUCUUGUCAUUCCUAGUUUCUCAUCUACUCUGAGUUGAAACCAUUUACUUAAAUACUCUGCAGCAAAAAAAUAAAACCUCGUCUUAGAUAUCUGCAGCAAAUAGUUAAACCUAAUUUGUGUUUAUCAUAACAAAAAUACAGUCAAACUCGUAUGCAUACAGUAUAUACAUACAUUCAAGUAUGUGGCUGUAUAUACCAGCCUUAUGCAAAUAAUCAUGUUACCCUGUUUAUAAAUAUCACCGUUAUAAAGUAAGAUAUUUCAAAAGUCAUUGGUGGAUUUUUAGAUAUUAACCACUAAACACUGCGCCAACAGUCUGUGAAGAAGUUGACCCUAAAUAAGGUAUUUCAAUUUAAAGAGAUCACAUAAAAGUAACAUCUGAGUUGCAAAAUUGAGAGGUCAUCUCAACUUGUCAAAAUAUAUGAAUGCUGCUUUUCUUUUAAAAGAAAAAAGAAAAAUGCUCCUUUACUGCCCUUUAAUUAGAAAAAUAACAUUAUGCUGAAAUUUUAAGACGAGAACAAUUACAUUUAAGAUUUCAUACAGGAGAGGGAUAAGAGGGAAGCUCAGAAUUGUUUUUAUUAAAUUGACAAUCUACAAUCAUAGUUAAGACUUAACUAGGUAAAAAUAGGCGACAAACUGAAUAGCUGCAACCUAGAGGAAUUGGAUUAGUUCCCUUAGGAAUUUAUACAUCAAACGAAAACCCUAUUGAGAUUGCUAAUAGACCUAUUCAAAAUACGCCUUAUUAUAAGGAACUUGGUUUUUUAACAAACGAGGUUCCUAAACUUAUUCCCAAAGUAGUUUUUCAGAGGUAGAAAGAGCAUCUGGGAGAAAGGUGUAUAGAGUGACAAUUUAAAAAAAUCCAUCAUAAAUGACUAAGUACAAAAGAUUAAUUUUAGGAAUGCUUGUUUAACUGUAUAACCUGUUGUCUCUAAAGCACCGUUAUGUGGGAUUAUCCACUUUCCUAUUCCAAUGAGAACUUUGGACGUUUUAACGUAGAGUUCAACAAAAUAUCAUCUCGAUCUUUAAUAAAAGCGCUCGGAGAGAUAAGGUUUUAUAAAAUACUAAGCGAUUUAAAAAAAAAGAAAAGAAAAAAAAAGGCAAUAUGAUUCCACGAACUGAUGUCACUGUUCUGCAGUUCGUUUACCAGAACUAGCCAAACUUUCGCCUAAUUUAAACAAGGCAGGUGAGUUAAAUAAAUUUGAUUUAUUCUCAAUCUCCUCCCCAACACCCCAAAAGCAGCUCUGUAUAAUUUUUUCCCCAGUGUAAAUAAAUGAUCCGAUUGUGGAAUUCAAUUGUUUUUUUAAAAAAUCAUUUAUAAUUUAUAAAGUGACAAAAUAACAUACUAUUAUCCUAUGAAUAUUUGAUUAUGUACACUUUCAGCUUGAAACAAUUUUGACUUUAAACCAGAUUAUCGACAAAAAUGGUAUAGCAAGUGAACAUUUACUGUAUUUUUAAAACAUAAUAUACAAACUACUAUUUAAUAUCCCGUAAAAUGUAAAUAUGCAUGAAUAAACCUGUUACAGCUAAUAAAUAGCUCUGACAAAGUUGAAGCGAUUACAAAAUAAUUAUCUGGCUUGUAAAAAAACAAAAAAUAAUUUAAAAAAUAAAUGGGUGUUUCAGUACUCUUCUGUUUAAAUGGUACCAGAUAUAUCCCAGUCAAAUUAAUGUCAAUGAUAGGUUCGAAUACAACUGACACCCAGAAAAUCCGAUGUGAAUAGAGCAAAUUUGUUCCUAUAGCUUUGUGAUGUAACAGUUUUUGAACAUUAGAAAAUUUGCUCUGGAAUAAAACACACUGCUUAGUUAAUUGCAAAGGCAGGGAAAGUCAAGAUUUGAGAACCUGAAAUACCCGUGGGAGGUAGUUUGAAGUGCAGGCUUCAAUUAAUGUAGAAUAUCUAAUUUGACUAUAGAUUUCCUUUUUUACUUUGGUUUUAAAGUGAUAGAAAAACAGAUUUUUUAAAAUGGUUAAAAUUGCUGCUUUUUUUUAAAUUUACAAAAGAGAGAUGACAAAAUUCCUAAACUGGUAACAGAGCAUUAAACUUUCCUGGUCCAAUUUGUAUCUAAUAAAGCUGAAAUCUAUCUUCCUUUGUUUUCGAGUCGUAUAGUAUAGUGGAAGUGUGUAUUUGAAAGCUCCUUGAUUACGUUUUGAGUAUCUCUCUUCCCCCCACCCUUUUUUUUAGCACCAGUUUCAAAGUGGGUAGGUUUGAAAUUCAGGACAAGUGUGACCCCUACCUGUGAAUGUGGGGAAACAUUCCAAUCCGACCCUCAACCUCCGUUUAUAUAUGGUAAUCUCCGGACAGACAGAUUUACAAAUCCUAUCAAUGCUUGCAAUAUGCAGCGGCGAUGAAGCACUAAUUUAAUCAAAUUAACCAAAUAUAUCAAUGCAAAAUUCGGGGGAGAGGGAAUGAAUUGAGGGAGGGGGAAUCUUUCCCCUAGUGUAUAUCUUAAUGUGUAUUCCCCGGCUCUCUUCUUAAUAACUCUGCAGCACCUUUGAAAUAGUAAUAAGGGCUAAAUCUGGCAUAAAAUCGAACUCAUUAGCAAAGUUCACCAGCUGAUUACUUUGCAUAAAACACGACACUGAUUGGAAGUAAUUAGGUUAAAAGCUGGUACUGUACUUCGAUUUGGUGUUUCUAUUCUGUAUUUUUAUAUAUAUCCUUAUUUAAUCUCUUACUCAUAAAUACAUCUCGUCUUCAUUUUAUCUCCUAUAUCAUCCUUUCAUUCUUUGACUAUUUGCCCCCUCAAAUUAGCCUAAAUUACCACAACAAGUAGGCGCUCUUGUUAAACAUUCCCACAUUUAGACAUCUCUCACUUUGAAAAUCAGUUUCAGGUAUUUAAUGUUCUAAAUGAAAACCCACACUUAAACCAACCAGCAUUUAAAAAGUUAUUUUUGUCACCAGUUAUGUAUGUAUUUUCUCGGUGCAAAAACAAGUGUGUUUGAUUCGGUUAAAAUCUUCUUUUAAUUAAAAUAUUUGCAUUUAACAAUAGCGACUGCAGUUUUUUAUCUAGUAAGUAUAACCUAUUUCCUUUAUUAAUUUAUUAUACUUUAGCUCACACCCAAGGGGGAAAAAAUCAAUA